UUUUAAAAACUUAAAAGUCGCACAAAUACAACAAUCAUAGAGGUGUCUAUAUUGUGCGAUAUAAAUAAGUACCAAUCAUAUUAAUGAUGAGGUCUGCAGACUUACAGCAGUAAUUUAAAAUAUAUCGCACGAGCAUUCUUUUUAAAUUUUGAAAAACUUAAAAUUCGCACAAAUACAACAAUCAUAGAGGUGUCUAUAUUGUGCGAUAUAAAUAAAUACCAAUCAUAUUAAUGAUGAGGUCUGAAAAUUUGCAGCAGAUGCUAAAAAAAAAAUUUAGUUUAUUAUAUAUCCCUCGAGAAUUUUGUUUUAAAAACUUAAAAGUCGCACAAAUACAACAAUCAUAGAGGUGUCUAUAUUGUGCGAUAUAUAUAAAUACCAAUCAUAUUAAUGAUGAGGUCUGAAAAUUUACAGCAGAUGCUAAAAAAAAAAUUUAGUUUAAUUAUAUCCCUCGAGAAUUUUGUUUUAAAACUUUAAAAGUCGCACAAAUACAACAAUCAUAGAGGUGUCUAUAUUGUGCGAUAUAUAUAAGUACCAAUCAUAUUAAUGAUGAGGUCUGAAGACUUAUAGAAGAUGCUAAAAAAAAAAAGAUCCUGAAAAAGUGCGUUAAAAUUAGUAUGAAAAUAUCAAAAAUAACAAAAUUACGAACCCAUUUCUUUAUGAUUUGAUUCCUUAAACUAAAUUUGUACCAGGAUCACUUUAAUAUGAUAUAAUUUCAAAUACCCACCUAAGAAAAUAAUAUUAUGCAAGCGUUAUACGUCUCGAGCCCUGUUAGUAACAUUACGAAUAUUACAGUAUACUGUAAUACUCGUAGUAGAACUUUCAGGAUGCUUUUGUUAGAUUUUAAUUAUUAUCGGAAAAUAGGC